rnacentral:lncRNA from 1 species
CUAAAAAACCGCUAAAAAAUCAUUUAUAUUUGCUUUAUAUGCCAUGCUAUCGAGUCUAACUCAUGAUCAGAAUCCAUCUCAUUUCUUAGCUCAACUGGUUGGCAUCCAUCUCGAUCUCGAAGAGAUCCAAGGCUCAAACCUAGGUGGUGGUGCUGCCAUCAUAUUUUUCUUAAAAAAUCAGAAGAAAAGGAAAACAGUGGGCUUAAGUAUAUUCGGUGUCAGCUACAUAUAUAUCCUACCCCCUAGAUGUCCUCACCCUUGCCAGAAUCAGCUAAGCUUAGGUUUUAGUGUGCUUCCCCCGUAAGAAAUCAUAAAAAUCUUUUCCGCUGAAAGAAAACAUUCCAAACAUAAUUAUAUCUUGCUUGUUGGUUAAUCUGAAUACGGAUAUGUAUAACUUGCUAUUGGUGCAUGGGUGCAGGAACUAGUGGCCAGACGCCAGCGGAUGCCACGGGCACCAUGGGAUAUCGUGCCC